rnacentral:rRNA from 1 species
AAAUGAAUUGACGGGGGCCCGCACAAGCAGUGGAGUAUGUGGUUUAAUUCGAAGCAACGCGAAGAACCUUACCAGGUCUUGACAUCCAACUAACGAAGCAGAGAUGCAUUAGGUGCCCUUCGGGGAAAGUUGAGACAGGUGGUGCAUGGUUGUCGUCAGCUCGUGUCGUGAGAUGUUGGGUUAAGUCCCGCAACGAGCGCAACCCUUGUUUUUAGUUGCUACACAUUCGAAAGGAUGUGAGCACUCUAAAGAGACCGCCGUUGACAAAACGGAGGAAGGUGGGGACGACGUCAAAUCAUCAUGCCCCUUAUGACCUGGGCUACACACGUACUACAAUGGCCGUUAACAGAGGGUAGCAAAGCCGCGAGGUGGAGCCAAUCCCCAAAAACGGUCUCAGUUCAGAUUGCAGGCUGCAACUCGCCUGCAUGAAGGUGGAAUUGCUAGUAAUCGUGGAUCAGCAUGCCACGGUGAAUACGUUCCCGGGCCUUGUACACACCGCCCGU